rnacentral:rRNA from 1 species
UUAACACAUGCAAGUCGAACGGGAAAUAUUCAUUGAGACUUCGGUGAAUUUGAUCUAUUUCUAGUGGCGGACGGGUGAGUAACGCGUGGGUAACCUGCCUUAUACAGGGGGAUAACAGUCAGAAAUGGCUGCUAAUACCGCAUAAGCGCACAGAGCUGCAUGGCUCAGUGUGAAAAACUCCGGUGGUAUAAGAUGGACCCGCGUUGGAUUAGCUAGUUGGUGAGGUAACGGCCUACCAAGGCGACGAUCCAUAGCCGGCCUGAGAGGGUGAACGGCCACAUUGGGACUGAGACACGGCCCAGACUCCUACGGGAGGCAGCAGUGGGGAAUAUUGCACAAUGGGGGAAACCCUGAUGCAGCGACGCCGCGUGAAGGAAGAAGUAUCUCGGAAUGUAAACUUCUAUCAGCAGGGAAGAUAGUGACGGUACCUGACUAAGAAGCCCCGGCUAACUACGUGCCAGCAGCCGCGGUAAUACGUAGGGGGCAAGCGUUAUCCGGAUUUACUGGGUGUAAAGGGAGCGUAGACGGUGUGGCAAGUCUGAUGUGAAAGGCAUGGGCUCAACCUGUGGACUGCAUUGGAAACUGUCAUACUUGAGUGCCGGAGGGGUAAGCGGAAUUCCUAGUGUAGCGGUGAAAUGCGUAGAUAUUAGGAGGAACACCAGUGGCGAAGGC